rnacentral:sRNA from 1 species
UACUCCUUUUAUUUUCUGGGCCUCUAGGAUUUGUCUCCUACUUUCUUUUUCAGUGCUGUCACCUAUUAUUUCUGACUAAGGUUUUUCUUCUUAUAAAUCCACUUUAAGAUGGAAUUCUUUUUUUCCUAAAUCCCUUUUGAAAUAUUUCUAACAGAUGACACUAAAUAUGGGAAAGCAUAUUGGGACCAAAAAUAUACCAUUCUUUGUUCUUGUUUCUUCCUUUAAAAAGUUAGUUGCCGUGUUUAAAAAGAAAAGUGGACAUGUGCUCUUCUCCUUUCCGGUCCUAUCCCUUCCUCCCCAUCAUAUCCUACUGUAGAUUGGCUCUGGGGCAGAUAAAAAUCAAAGAAAGCAAGGGGAAGUGAAUUUUUGUAGUAUUGGGUGGGCUCUCAAGUAUAAGGGCCUUAUAUAUGAAAGUUAAGUUAGGGUCUACUAUGUAUAUGUGUUCAGUUUUUAAAAUUUUAGUUAAUUUUUUUAAAAAUUUAGGUUUAUGUCUGGGAAAGAAAUAAAGAAGAAGAAGCAUUUGUUUGGGUUGCGAAUUCGUGUUCCUCCUGUGCCACCAAAUGUGGCUUUCAAAGCAGAGAAAGAACCUGAAGGAACAUCUCAUGAAUUUAAAAUUAAAGGCAGAAAGGCAUCCAAACCUAUAUCUGAUUCAAGGGAAGUAAGCAAUGGCAUAGAAAAAAAAGGAAAGAAAAAAUCUGUAGGUCGUCCACCUGGCCCAUAUACAAGAAAAAUGAUUCAAAAAACUGCUGAGCCACUUUUGGAUAAGGAAUCAAUUUCAGAGAAUCCUACUUUGGAUUUACCUUGUUCUAUAGGGAGAACUGAGGGAACUGCACAUUCAUCCAAUACCUCAGAUGUGGAUUUCACGGGUGCUUCCAGUGCAAAAGAAACUACCUCGUCUAGCAUUUCCAGGCAUUAUGGAUUAUCUGACUCCAGAAAAAGAACGCGUACAGGAAGAUCUUGGCCUGCUGCAAUACCACAUUUGCGGAGAAGAAGAGGUCGUCUUCCAAGAAGAGCACUCCAGACUCAGAACUCAGAAAUUGUAAAAGAUGAUGAAGGCAAGGAAGAUUAUCAGUUUGAUGAACUCAACACAGAGAUUCUGAAUAACUUAGCAGAUCAGGAGUUACAACUCAAUCAUCUAAAGAACUCCAUUACCAGUUAUUUUGGUGCUGCAGGUAGAAUAGCAUGUGGCGAAAAAUACCGAGUUUUGGCACGUCGGGUGACACUUGAUGGAAAGGUGCAGUAUCUUGUGGAAUGGGAAGGAGCAACUGCAUCCUGACUGUAGGACUGAACAUUAUGUUCACUGCACUCUGAUUUUCUGUAGGUACAGUUCAAAGCCCUAAAGGAGUCUGGCUUUUACUAUCUUUCUUAAAAAAAA